AUUGAACGCUGGCGGCAGGCUUAACACAUGCAAGUCGAGCGGAGCGAGGGUGCUUGCACCUUAGCUUAGCGGCGGACGGGUGAGUAAUGCUUAGGAAUCUGCCUAUUAGUGGGGGACAACAUUCCGAAAGGAAUGCUAAUACCGCAUACGCCCUACGAGGGAAAGCAGGGGACCUUCGGACCUUGCGCUAAUAGAUGAGCCUAAGUCGGAUUAGCUAGUUGGUGGGGUAAAGGCCUACCAAGGCGACGAUCUGUAGCGGGUCUGAGAGGAUGAUCCGCCACACUGGGACUGAGACACGGCCCAGACUCCUACGGGAGGCAGCAGUGGGGAAUAUUGGACAAUGGGCGGAAGCCUGAUUCAGCCAUGCCGCGUGUGUGAAGAAGGCCUUUUGGUUGUAAAGCACUUUAAGCGAGGAGGAGGCUACUUAGAUUAAUACUCUGGGAUAGUGGACGUUACUCGCAGAAUAAGCACCGGCUAACUCUGUGCCAGCAGCCGCCGUAA
rnacentral:rRNA from 1 species